UCGAGAAUUUUUCACAAUGGGCGAAAGCCUGAUGGAGCGACGCCGCGUGGGGGAUGAAUGGCUUCGGCCCGUAAACCCCUGUCAUUCACGAACAAACCUUACGGUAUAACACAUCGUGAGCUGAUUGUAGUGGAAGAGGAAGGGACGGCUAACUCUGUGCCAGCAGCCGCGGUAAUACAGAGGUCCCAAGCGUUGUUCGGAUUCACUGGGCGUAAAGGGUGCGUAGGUGGUAGGGUAAGUUUGAGGUGAAAGCUCCGGGCUUAACCCGGAAACAGCCUCAAAUACUAUUCUGCUCGAGGGUUGGCGGGGAGACUGGAAUUCUCGGUGUAGCAGUGAAAUGCGUAGAUAUCGAGAGGAACACCAGUGGCGAAGGCGAGUCUCUAGACAACACCUGACACUGAGGCACGAAAGCCAGGGGAGCAAACGG
rnacentral:rRNA from 1 species